UACGAAGGGGGCUAGCGUUGUUCGGAUUUACUGGGCGUAAAGAGCGUGUAGGCGGGUCGUUAAGUUGGGGGUGAAAUCCCGAGGCUCAACCUCGGAACUGCCUUCAAAACUGGCGACCUGGAGCAAAGAAGAGGCGAGUGGAAUUGCGAGUGUAGAGGUGAAAUUCGUAGAUAUUCGCAGGAACACCAGUGGCGAAGGCGACUCGCUGGUCUUUUGCUGACGCUGAGACGCGAAAGCUAGGGGAGCAAACGGG
rnacentral:rRNA from 1 species